rnacentral:lncRNA from 1 species
AAAAAUGAUAGCUCAUGUGUAACUGUGUGUCAGGUGUCAUUCUGAGCACUUGACACACAUGGCCUUAUUCAGUCCUCACGUUCGUCUUUAUUAUUCACAUUCUCCAGAUGAGGAAACAGAAUUAGAGAAAGUUGAAUAACUGGCCAAGGUUAAAUGCUAUUAACAUUGGCAAAUUGGGUAGAGGAGUUGCUGAAGACGUGGGAGGAAUCGCAGGUGUCUCCAGGUGUUCAAGGCUGGAGGGCAGGGAACACAAUUUGGAUGGUUUUGUGGGUGAUGGGUGGCAUUGCCCUCAUUCUGCACAUGAGAAAACAGAAGCUCAGAAGUUUUGUGGCUCACCUGGCUGUCCUCAACAAAGAGAAGUCUAAUGGUUGAGGAAGGCAUGAUCUUAUCCCUGAUUUGGACACUUUAUUCUAAUCUGCAACCAUGUAAAGUCAGAAAAUCACCAACGUCCAAGAAACUUCAGAGGACUGGAAGGUACUGAGUACUAAGGGUACAUUUGUUCUUUUUUUUUUUCUUCCAUUUUUAUUUUAACAAACUUCAAACUUUAG